rnacentral:sRNA from 1 species
ACACCGCCCGUCACACCACGAGAGUUUGUAACACCCGAAGUCGGUGGGGUAACCUUUUUGGAGCCAGCCGCCUAAGGUGGGACAGAUGAUUGGGGUGAAGUCGUAACAAGGUAGCCGUAUCGGAAGGUGCGGCUGGAUCACCUCCUUUCUAUGGAGAAUUGAUGAACGCUGUUCAUCAAUAAAGUUUCCGUGUUUCGUUUUGUUCAGUUUUGAGAGAACUAUCUCUCAUAUAUAAAUGUAUGUUCUUUGAAAACUAGAUAACAGUGUAGCUCAUAUUUUUUAAUUUUAAGUUGGGUAAAUUUAAAAAGGGCGCACGGGGGAUGCCUUGACAC